GUGUUGCCCAGGCUGGUCUCAAACUCCCAGCCAGAAGCAGUCCUCUUGCCUUGGCCUCCCAAAGCAUUGGGAUUACAGGUGUGAGUCGCCACACCCAUUCCACCUGAACUCCUAGAUCUUAACUAUUACAUCAUUCUGCCCUUAACCACUAGGCUACACCAUCAUCCUCUACCAAUGCUGAGUUCAGUUUUGGAAGUGUUGGUGUUUAGAUACCCAUAGGCCGUCUACUUCAUUCCAUUUCUUUUUUUUAGCGUCUCACUCUGUCGCCCAGGCUGGAGUCCAGUGGCACGAUCUCGGCUCACUGCAACCUCUGCUGCUUCCUGGGUUCAAGGGAUUCUCCUGCCUCUGCCUCCAGAGUAGUUGGGAUUACAGGAGACUGCCACCAUGCCUGGCUAAUUUUUGUAUUUUUAGUAGAGACAGGGUUUCACCAUGUUGGCUAGACUGGUCUUGAACUCCUGACCUCGUGAUCCGCCCAUCGUGGCCUCUCGAAGUGCUAGGAUUACAGGCAUAAGCCACUGUGCCUGGCCAACUUCAUUCCAUUUCUGCCCUGGGCUUUUUUUUUUUUUUGAGACAGAGUCUUGCUCUGUCACCAGGCUGGAGUGCAGUGGCUCGAUGUCAGCUCACUGCAACCUCCACCUCCCGGGUUCCAGCGAUUCUUCUGCCUCAGCCUCCCGAGUAGCUGGGACUACAGGCGCACGCCACCACAUCCAGCUAAUUUUUGUAUUUUUUUAGUAAAGACAGGGUUUUGCCAUGUUGGCCAGGAUGGUCUUGAUCUCUUGACCUCGUGAUCCGCCUGCCUCGGCCUCCCAAAUUGCUGGGAUGACAGGCGUGAGCCGCCGCGCCCGGCCUGCCCUGAGCCGCCGCGCCCGGCCUGCCCUGAGCUUUUGCAACAGGCUCCAGUGGUCUCCGUGUCUCUUUCCUUAUUCCCCUCAAAUCAUUCUCCAUAUUGCAGCCAGAAAUUAUAUUUUAAAACACAAUUCUAAAAUGUCACUGUCUCCCAAAACCCUUCAGUAGUCUCCCACUGCUCCUAGAGACUGAAAUGUUUACCUGCUUACAAGGCAGGGGUUGGCCCCUGAGCACCUUUGCAGCUCCCUCUCUAGAUGGAUGAAAGUCAGGCUCCCUAACUUCCACCUUCCUCUCCAUGUUCCAGCAUGUUCUCACCCAGAGCCUCUGGGCCUUUUGUCCUCCUCACUGGAAUGCUCCUAGAGGUUUCUCUCCCCUCACAGCCACCUAGUUUACUCAGGUUUUAGAGCCCAGCAAGUCCAGUCUACUCAGUUUUCUUUUUGAAGUUCCUAUAACUUCAGUUCCUUUAUUUAAGUUUGAGGUUGUACAUGUCUUAGUAUGCUUAUUUGAUUACAGUUAGUCUCCCCGCUAGACUGUGAGUGCCCUAAAGGCAGGAACCUUGCCCAUCCCCUUUACCACUAGCACCGAUCAAAAUGCCUGGCACAGGGAGGCGCAAUGAACAGCUGUUGAACGAGUGACUUCCAAAUCGACAGCAAAGGGGGCGGCUGGAUAGCGAGUCGCCCGCUCAGGAGAGAUUCUGGGUCGGAAAUAAAGAUCUGGGAGUCAUUUAUAAUUCCAACCAGACGAGUAGAUGGGCUGGCCCAAGCGGUGUGUAGACUGAAGAGAUUCUAACUCAUGCAAGAUAAGCAGCUACGUGGCUCACGGUCACGUCGCAAAAAACCUGGGGGCUCUCCUCCGCCUGCUUGUGGUCCCGUACAAGGCGCUUCCCACCCUGGGUCUCUGAGCCCAGUCGGUGAAAGACGGAAGGAGACCGAUUCACAGCCCCAACAGCGCCGGUGAUAGUCCCUCUGCCACCCCUUUCCCUCCGCUGCCCUCCCCUCCCCUCCCCUCCCCUCGAUGACUUCCUCCAACAGCUGACGAAGCUGGAUCCCUGGGCACCGCCUCUUCC
rnacentral:lncRNA from 1 species